GGAAUAUUGCACAAUGGGCGCAAGCCUGAUGCAGCCAUGCCGCGUGUAUGAAGAAGGCCUUCGGGUUGUAAAGUACUUUCAGCGGGGAGGAAGGCGGUGAGGUUAAUAACCUCAUCGAUUGACGUUACCCGCAGAAGAAGCACCGACUAACUCCGUGCCAGCAGCCGCGGUAAUACGGAGGGUGCAAGCGUUAAUCGGAAUUACUGGGCGUAAAGCGCACGCAGGCGGUCUGUCAAGUCGGAUGUGAAAUCCCCGGGCUCAACCUGGGAACUGCAUUCGAAACUGGCAGGCUAGAGUCUUGUAGAGGGGGGUAGAAUUCCAGGUGUAGCGGUGAAAUGCGUAGAGAUCUGGAGGAAUACCGGUGGCGAAGGCGGCCCCCUGGACAAAGACUGACGCUCAGGUGCGAAAGCGUGGGGAGCAAACAGGA
rnacentral:misc_RNA from 1 species